GGGUCCUGGCUGUGCCCUGGGCCAGCCUCCUAGGGACCUGGUUCCCUGGGCCUCUGCUUGCCUUGGCUACUGACUGUCUUUCCGACCCCUCCACUGGCUUCUUGAUACUCGGGACAACUCCAGGCACAGUCCUGCCUCUGAGCCUCCGCUCGUGGUGUUCCCUCUGCCCUUCUCCCUCACCUGGUGACUGUUACUUCUUCUGCUCCUCUGCCUUCACCUUGGCCUGGGUGCAGCGGCCGGUCCCGCCAGGGAGCAGAGCCCUCCUUCCGGCCGCCUGUGCCCUCUCGCGUCCUGUGGCUGCAGCCUCAGCAGGGAUGUGUUUCUAUGUUGGCUGCUGCUCUGGCCCCGCUUCUCCCAGGCUGGCCCCACUGGGAUCCCCUGCCACGACCAGCCUGUACCAGCACCCUGGGGGAGCCCCAUAAACCUUUGUGAGAUGAGGCCAUGAGUGCAGUGUGGACUAUGGAAAACUCGUUCCAGGUGAAUGGCAGGAUAUUUCAAUCUGCCCCCUUGUACGCUGGCAGGCAGCCGUGAGCAGGGAGGGCGUGUUGGCGGCCAGGCCAAGGGAGGACUUGGAGGACCUGGGGUGGUGGGCAGACCUUGGGUGUGGCAUCUGAUGGAUCCACCCAUCCCCUGGCUGUUGGCCAGUCUGUGUCCCUUCCCAGGAGAAGCAGCUACCUGGGCCCUCUCUGGGAGGUGCCCACCCUUUUCUUGUUUCAAGAAUGAUUUCUUUGGGAGUCCCCAUCGUAGCUCAGUGGGUUAAGAACCUGACUAAUAUCUGUGAGGACGUGGGUUUGAUCCCUGGUCUCGCUCAGUGGGUUAAGGAUCUGGUGUUGCUGUGAGCUGUGGUGUAGGUGGCAGACAUGGCUUGGAUCCCGUGUUGCUCUGCCGGCCUACGCCAGAGCCACAGCAACAUGGGAUCUGAGCCACCUCUGCGACCUACACCACAGCUCAUGGCAACACUGGAUCGUUAACCCACUAAACAAGGCCAGGAAUUUGAACCCACAUCCUCAUGGAAACUAGUUGGAUUCAUAACCUGUUGAGCCACGACAGGAACUCUGGUUUGUUCCUGUUUAAGCAGAAAGGGUGUGUGAUGCUGUCCGCAGGAGCAGGGGUAUCCUUUUUGACUCUUAAAGGUGUAGGGCACGUUAAAACUUGGUAUAGGACUUUGAUGCAAUAGGAUUGGCCAUGUCUCUAAAGCACCAGGACGAAGGCUCCAUCCCAUCCCAGGACAGUGGGUUAAAGGAUCCGGGUUGUAGGAGUUCCUGUUGCAGCUCAGGGGUUUGCUCCCUGGCCUCACUCAGUGGGCUAAGCAUCCAGCAUUGCUGCAUCUGCAGCGUAGGUCACAGCUUGGGUUUGGAUCUGACCCCUGGCCUGGAAACUCCAUAUGCGUCGGGGCAGCCAAAAAUGAAUGAAAAAGAAAGGGUACCUGCGUUAGCUGAUCAGCACGUAGGCACCGUGGGGCUUUUCUCCUGGGAGCACACCUGGUAGGAAAAAGGGACGGCAUGGCAGAUGGCACAUGGCUUUCUCUCUGGUGAGGCCCUGCUGUGCUUGGCAUUUGUUCUCGGUUGGGCUCGGCCCCUGUCCUCUGCAUCGGUUGCCCGUGACGAUGCAGAAGGUGGUGGUAAGUCACCCCAGGGUGAGCGCCCGGGCACAGGCGCCAGGUGUCAGGCACGAGCCCCGGCCCUGAGCAGAUGCUCAGUCAUGGUUCCCGAUGGAACGACAGAGGAAUCUGGGCUCUCACUCCAAGGGCUAAGAAAAUGCCCUUUCAGAAUCUUCCGAGGAGUCUGAGGAGCAGAGGCGAGCUGGUUUCUCACCGUCUUCUCUUCUUGCCCGAGUGUUUGUGGCUGUGGCUUUUAUGGCCGUGCCAAGAGUGGCCUCUGGGGGCUGGCUGACGCCCUGUGUCCUGGCCGGCUCUGGGUUGUUGGGCAGCGUGUGGCCUCCUCGGCCUCACAUGCGUCGUCCACGCCGCAGCCGUUCCCUGGAUCUUGGCUCUCGGCUUCCCGGCCCAGCCCACCUGCUGACGGCUCUGCUGUUUGGUCCUGGCGUCGAGCCGUGUCAGCAGGGGCAGGGGGAUGGGCGACCGAGACAGCCCCCCGCCUCCCGGCCCCUCCGCUGUGCCAGACGUACCCGGGGGCCUUCCACCGAAGGAUGACGCAGCAUUUUGCAAACACAUGUUGCCAACUCGAAUAAAUGCUAGAGAGACAGAGACCCAGGCAUGUGGGCUGGCCAGUUGGAGAGCCAUCCAGCGAGUAGGCCCGUAGGAAAAUGAAUGUCAGUGGCUCUUUGUUCUGACCCUUUUGCACCAAGCUCUGCCCUGGACGAGGGAGCGGACCGGCCGGCCGGGCUCCCGGGCGCAAGACCGCUUUGUGGGCCGCUGCCCCUGGCCUCUAAGUGGGCAUAGUCAUUACACCAAAGGCUGGAAGGAACCACAGAACGGGAUACAUAUUUAGGGAAAUAUGCACACAACUCAGUUUAUUUUUCUUAUCUGAUUUUUUUUUUUCUGGUGCAAUAUGAGUCCUGUUGAAUACUUGGCAGCUGCCUUUCCAUACUCGAGUUGUUUGUCAUUUCUGGGGCUGCCGAUGCUGUUAUGAUCUCCCUUUUGGGAGGAAUUUACAGGCACAUGUUGACCCAGCUGAGUGGGAACAGGGAGCAGCAGGAAUCUGGUGAACAAGGACCAUCACAGACCAGAAAGGAUGCCUUCGCUGCCUUUCUUGACGGCGUCCUCAGAUGAGCCGCUCAGCGCCUCGUGGGGCCGGGGCCAUCGAGGGCGCCACCACUCCGGCUUCGAAAGCCCAGAUCCUCUCUGGGCCCGCCCUUGACAUCAGCCUGCCUUUCCUUUCGUGACUCUCCGGGAGUUGUAGUCGGCCCGGUGCUUUAUUGUCGGGCUGUCAGGAGUCAGCCCUCCGUAGCAGCUGUUGCUAGGUAAGGCGUGAUUUCCCGCAGAGACCAGUGCGGGCGAGGAUGGGGACGUUGGCUGGCAGAGGGCCAGGCGGCCGUGCGGGGGAACAGGCAGGGGCCACGGUGAAGGGCAGGAGGCAGGAGGCAGGACCUUGGCUGCCCUCUGCCCCCUGACCCUGCCACCGUCUGCUCCUGCUUUGCAGUGUCCCCUCUGGCCUCCCCUCCCCCAAAGACCUGGCCUGUGUCUCAUGGCCACCGAGCCCCUCGUGCUCAUUUGCUUCAUUUUCUGGACACCUCCAGCCCGCCAGGGGCUGGGGGUAUGGAGAUGAAUUGGUGCUGCAGGAGCGCAGAGCCCAUAGGAGAAGCAGACCCCGAGGGGGCUGAGCCACCCCCCCACUCCGCCGCUUGGCUGGUGGCUUUACAGCCACAGCAGCUGCUGCCGGCACCUUGCCAUAUCCCUCUGUCCCCCCUCGCCGUCGCCUGCUCAGCAUAGGGACAGUCUCCUGGCCCCAGAACAUCUUCCAGCCCCAGAGGUUACUCCAGGAGAGACCCUUGAUCCCCAAAGGCUGGGAGUUGAUUGGAUCGUUCUGGAAAAUCAUUAAGACGGUCAACUCCGUGUUUUGUGUGUCACCAUCAUAAAAAGACUGAAUGACCGGGCGUGGGGAUGAGGCAGAGGGAGGAAGCUGGGAGCCCGGCCCGGAGCCCACGGCCUGAGGCCAAGUCCCAGCUUUCUGGUCCCUGGCAAACCGCUCUGCCUCCCAGGGCCUCCGUGUUCUCACCCGUGCGCAACGGUCCCGCCGUCGUGGAGCUGCGGUCCAGGGAGACGUGCCUGGUGCUGUAGGGCCGCCGGUCUCGUGAGCGGCACCGACUGGCUUUUGGGGAGAGCGAGUCUGAUCCCAGCAGUGAUGGUGAUGCUCUCCUGUCCCAAGACCGCCGUCACCCCGGCCCCUCGGCCUCCACCCCAGAGCACCUCCUCCUUGUGCUCGGGGCCCGUGAGGCGGGAAGGGCAGCGUCUGAAUUCAAAGCAAGUCCACAAGCUGAAAGAGAAACCAAGUGGAGAGAUCAAAGUCCCACUGGGUUAUUGACCGGUGUGGUUGCAAUGCCCCCUUUCCUGCCGAUUCCGUAGACGCCUUCUGUCCCAUUCCAGCCUGCCUCCUGGUCCCCUCGGAGUGGCCGUAAGUUGUACACAGGCUGCUUCUGAUCCGACGGUAGGCACGGUUGCUGGUAUUUUACAGUGGCUUAGUCUGAACUUUUCCCUACUCUUUUUUGCCUAAAAUCCUUACUUUCAGGAAAUCGCUGUUGUAAGACAGGACUCCGCAAUUACAGCUCUGGGGCCAAGUCCCCCCCCCCCCCAGCCUGUUUCUGUACGCAAAGUUUUAUUGGCACCCGUUGUUUUCCAUAUCUCCGCCGAUGGCUGCCCCAAGCUCGGAGGCGGAGUCAGGUCCUUGCCACGGAGACCAUGUGACCCGCAAAGCCAGAAAUAUUUACUAUCUGACCCUUGGCAGGAAAUGUUGCCAGCAUUCUGUUGUAAGAGAUGCUGAAAUGUUUAAUUCUUUGAGGACUGGGGCACAUAAUUAAUGUUUUUUAGUUCCACCAUGCUAAAAUUAGAAGGAAAACUUAUUUACUAUAACAUGCUCUGUAGUAAUCAUGAAAUAUUGUCUCAUAAUUACUAGUAUUUUAAUGAGCACCCAUCGGCACAUUAGCGAACCUAAGAGAGGAGCUAAAAAGAAGGUAGUGAAAUAUUCCAUCACGUUUCUCCUGACCCAACAGCUAGACGAUAGACCAGCAUGUGAAGUAUUGACAGACCUUUGGCAGUUUUAUCUGCCUCCUUAAAAGUUUAUGUGUCGGAGUUCCUGUUGUGGCUCAGCAGGUUAGGAAUCCGACGAGUUUCCAUGAGGAUGCAGGUUUGAUCCCUGGCUGUGCUCAGUGGGUUAAGGAUCUGGCAUUGCCAUGAGCUGUGGCGCAGGCUGCAGAUGGAGCUCAGAUCCAGCAUUGCGGUGGCUGUGGUGGCUGCAGCUCCAAUUCGACCCGUAGCCUGGGAACGUCCAUGUGCUGUAGGUGGGGCCCUAAAAAGACCAAAAAAAAAAAAAAAAAAAAAAAAAAAAAAAGGAAAGAAAGCAAGCAAGAGAAAAAAGACAAAGCCAUUGUGCUCAAGUAUCGUUCCUUUCCAGGCAUGUGGUUCUCACAUGGUGGAGAAACCCCCCCAAUAAACACGCAUAGACCCUUGGCAGGAAAUGUUGCCGGCAUUCUGUUGUAAGAUUUUUGAAAAAUUGGAGAUACUUUUCUUCUUUUUUUUGUUUUUUGUCUUUUCAGGGCCGAGACUGCGGCAUAU
rnacentral:lncRNA from 1 species